AUUCCAGCUCCAAUAGCGUAUAUUAAAGUUGUUGCAGUUAAAACGCUCGUAGUCGGAUUUCGGGGCCUGCCUGCCGGUCUGCCGAUGGGUAUGCACUGGCAGGCGCGUCCUUCCUUCCGGAGACUGUCCCUACUCUUAACUGAGCGGGGUCGGGAGACGGAUCGUUUACUUUGAAAAAAUCAGAGUGUUUCAAGCAGGCAGCUCGCUCUUGCAUGGAUUAGCAUGGGAUAAUGAAAUAGGACUUUGGUUCUAUUUUGUUGGUUGGAGGCCAAGGUAAUGAUUAAUAGGGAUAGUUGGGGGUAUUCAUAUUUAAUUGUCAGAGGUGAAAUUCUUGGAUUUAUGAAAGAUGAACUCAUGCGAAAGCAUUUACCGAGGAUGUUUUCAUUA
rnacentral:rRNA from 1 species